rnacentral:lncRNA from 1 species
CAGAGAAAACAAAGUGCCUUUAAUAUUGUUUGGUUCUUUUAACGUGGACCGUGUUUGGCUUUUUCAAGUAAAUAUGUAGUUAAAAAAAAAGAAUUAUACAAGUAAAAUAAAUUUCUGAAAUAGAGAACUUUAGGAAGAUAUAUUUUAAGAAUUACUAUAGUUAUAAAAAUAAAAUAAAAAUUGUGAAAACUUCAAGCCACCAUUAUAGUUUAGUAUCAAAACUACUAUACAACAAAAAAGAAUAUGAAAAAUUAAAUUCC